rnacentral:tRNA from 4 species
GGGCUUGUAGCUUAGUGGAUAGAGCGCAUGGCUACGAACCAUGAGGUCGGGGGUUCGACUCCCUCCAAGCCCG